rnacentral:rRNA from 1 species
AUACGGGGGAUGCAAGCGUUAUUCGGAAUCAUUGGGCGUAAAGGGCACGCAGGCGGUUCUGUCAGUCAGAUGUGAAGGCCCGGGGCUUAACCCCGGACGUGCAUUUGAAACAGCAGGACUUGAGUAUGGUAGAGGAAGGCGGAAUUCCUGGUGUAGAGGUGAAAUUCGUAGAUAUCAGGAGGAACACCGGUGGCGAAGGCGGCUUUCUGGACCAAAACUGACGCUGAGGUGCGAAGGCGUGGGUAGCGAACAGGAUUAGAAACCCUAGUAGUCC